GUUGGUUGAAAAUCACCUGCGGCUUUUGCCGUGGCCGUGGGUGAGAUUCGGCGCCCAGAGCCAUCGGGGCCUCAGCUCACUGCCCACUCGUGUGGGGAGGUGAAACCCAGGCCCCUACACGC